AUGAAGUCUACGUUGAUUUGUCUUUUGAGGGGCGUUGCUCAUUAGCAUAAUGACGUUAAAUAAGCGGCCAGCUGUUACAAAUCGAAUUACAGAUACGAAUCUAUAAAUGUAUCUACAUACAUUUGUACAUACUUAUCUUAUGUAUAAGAGUAGAAGAAGAACGUCGGCGAACGGAUAUGUCACAGAUACAAGCAAUGACGGCAAACAUUUAUGUAGAUAUGAAAGUACUUUUUCUUGGCAAGAAAUUGUAUAGAAAUCACAGAAAUCGACAACAAGCUAGACGCUUUUGAAAUCAAUAAAAAACAAAACAACAAUAGCAACAAAUCGAGAGUGAUGCAAAAAGCAGCAUAACAAAAGCGGAAAAAUCAAUGAUAAGAAAAAUCGCGCAUUCUGUGCCAGAGACGCUCGGAAGAGACGAUGCCACACUCACCACAUGCGCCACAACCACCACCACCACUACCAACGACGGUAGCCACAAGUUGUUGGCGAUUGCUGCUAGGCGACAAAUAAACGGGCAGACAGACAGCGCAUAUUAGAAUAAAACUUUGUAAGACCCGCUGAGUCACGCCAGAAGCCACGAUAAUAAAAAGAGUAGCAAGCAUAAAAAACUAAGUACAGAUAUUGCAUAUCAAUUUAAAACGAGUGUUGCGGGCUGAUUCGAUUUUUCGUUUACCAUAUAUAAGCGACAAGUGGCGCUGAAAAUGUGAAAAUUCCAAUGACAACUGUCAUAAAACAUUUCACGUACAGUUGUGAAUAGUAAAAUGAAGUGAAAUGCAAAUUUUAGCGAAAGCAAAAAAUAAAAAUAAAAACGAUAGUGCUUUCCAGCCAUAGCCUAUCAGCAUGGUUAGAGGCACUAAAUGAAAAAA